UUUUCCUUUUUCUUUUUCUGGAAAAAAUAGUAACAUGAAAAACAAGAUAAUAAUCACUUUUAUAUAUGUAUCAUAAUAUGCGUUUAUUUGUUCAUAUUCUAAAAUCAAGCAUAAAAUCAUUGUGCAGAUUAAUUGUGUUGAUUCUAAGUGUUGGCAGCAAUUUUGGUAAAACAAAGAGUGUUCACAAGAUGUCAUAUGUGAUGUCUUAACAUGAGAUAUCCUAUGUACCUGCUGGAGUUAAAGAAGAUAUGCAAGCAGGAUUGUUUCAGAAUGCCACAUACAAAGACAAGGCUUCUGAUAUUGGUUGUACCGCUGGCGCCUUAACUGGAAGACAUCUUCAUGCAGGAUUUGUUUCAUGUAUGACGAAUACUACAUGUUCAUGGUGAUCUGAUAUGGUUGUACGCUCUGAUAAAAAGAAAUAUGGGAGAUGCAGGAUUUUCCAGAUGCAACCCGAGUCAUGUACAUGCUGUACACAGGAACAUAGCAGUAAUGAAUGGUUGUGUUUUGUGAUUGCACAGUUAUAUGGCAAUGCAUGUGGUGCUGAUUGAGAGCAUGAUAGUGGCAAGGUGGCAUUACAGGGGCAUGUGCGAACCCGAUGUGUUUUUUCCAAGGAGAUUUCGCUUUGAUUGAGGAGAUUGUGUAUUUAGAGGUUUUCGCAGAGGUCCAGUGUGUCGUAUGGGACCUGGCGCAGAAAAGUUCUGUGUUGAACACACAACCAAGACUGAGCGAAAUUUAGAGAGAGAGCUAGGGUUUGUGUCUGUAGGUCAUUCAAGUCAUCCAUAGAUGAUUGAAUUGGACUGAUUUGUCUUCUUGAUCAAAGCUUUGAAGUAAGAUCAAGAGUGUGUCUUCUUAAUUGAAACUGUGAAGUAAAAUCAAGAGUUUUGUAAUUGAAAAGUAUUUUCUUUUCACAAGGGAUUGUUGUUUAAGAUUACGGGGUUGUGAUUGUAAGGGAAGUGAGUGGGUUCUCAUAUCUAAGAGUGCUUAGGUAGAAAUUGCACGGGUAGAGAUUAGGUGAGAAAGACUGUAACUUGGUAAAGUGUACGGAUAGUCUUUGAACUAAUUCUAUUAUAGUGGAUUUCCUUCCUGGCUUGGUAGCCCCCAAAUGUGGGUGAGUUGCACCGAACUGGGUUAACAAUUGCUUGUGUAAAAUGCUUUAUAAUUUUGUUUAAAUUAUCCAUUGUGUAUUAACAGAUAUCAGUGUCAUGACAUUACCUUCGACGUCUUAUAUCUGAUACCAGAAUUUCAAUUGGUAUCAUAGCAGGCAUCCUGCUCUGGCUCUGGGUGAGAUCUAGGGAGAAUACUUUUUGGUACAAUGGAGAGGGAUGGAGGAUCUGUUCAUAGGCCACCAAUUUUGGAUGAUUCUAACUAUGACUAUUGAAAACCAAGAAUGGUAGCCUUUUUAAAAUCCCUUGAUAACAAGGCUUGGAAAGCUGUCUUGACAGGCUGGGUGCAUCCUGUAGUUACUAAAGAAGGAGAAGUCUCUUUUGAGAAAAAGCCUGAAGAACAAUGGUCCAAGGAGGAGGAUGACCUAGCCCUUGGAAAUUCUAAAGCUUUGAAUGCCAUCUUCAAUGGAGUGGAAAAGAAUAUUUUCAGGCUGAUAAAUAACUAUGAAGUAGCCAAAGAGGCUUGGGACAUUCUCAAGACCACUAGUGAAGGCACCUCUAGGGUAAAGAUGUCUAGACGUCAGCUGCUCACCUCCAAGUUUGAAAACUUAAGGAUGAAAGAAGAUGAAAACAUUCAUGAAUUUCACAUGAGUAUCCUUGAGAUGGGAGAGAAUGUCCAGAUGAAAAGUUCAGUAAGAAAAUACUCAGAUCACUCCCUAAGAGAUUUGGCUUAAUGAAGGUACUGCCAUGACGAAGAGUCUCAAGACCAAACCUUUGAGUUAGGGUUGAAUGAUGGUGUUGAAAGGAAAACAAAGAGCAUUGCCUUCAUGUCAAACACAGAAGAGGAUAAGAGUCAGGAGGGUGAUGAAGAUCUUGUAAAUGAACUAGCUAUGUUGGGGAGGCAGUUUAAUAAACUAUUGAAAAAGAUGGAUGUAAGAUUAAAGGCAAAUGUCAAGAACAUCUCAUCUCACAUCAGUAAAUCCAACAAUGCUGGAAGAAAAACAAGAGCAGAUGAGAAGCCCAAAGAAGGAAAAGAAGUUCAGUGCUUUGAAUGUGAUGGGUAUGGACACAUCAGGGCUGAAUGUGGAACCUACCUCAAGAAACAGAAGAUGAGUCUUGCUGCCACAUGGUCUGAUGAGAGUGAUACUGAAGAGGCUGCAAAUCUUGUGACUGCUUUGACAGGAAGAUGGGAAUCUAACGAAGAGUCAAGUGAUGGUGAAGUAACCUUUGAGGAAUUGGCCUCUACAUACAGAGAGUUGUGUUAGAAAAGUGUUGAGCUGAACAAGCAGUCUUUAAAUCAGGAGAAAGACAUAACUCAACUUGAGAAUGAGAAGGUAGAAUUCUUGGAAACCAUCUCCAAAUUGAAAACAGAAGUUGUGGCUCUAAAAGUCAAGGGCUAGAUGAAGAUCAACAAGUUGAGGCAGAGAUAGUCCAACUGGAGAAAGAAAAAGCAGAACAUGUGGAAACCAUCUUCAAGCUAAAGACUGAAGUUGUGCUCUUAAACUCAAAACUAGAAGAGACAACCAAGUAUGUAAGGAUGCUGAUCAAUGGAUCUGACUCCUUAGACAAGAUUCUUCCAACUGGACAAAUCACAGGAGUCAAAUCUGGAUUAGGGUACCAUGAAACUAAGGCUAGAAGUAGUUACACUAGCUGCAAACCUCAAGCUAAACCUAAAUGCAGCAAUAGUAAGAGCAGGUCCAAGAUGUCACAUCAUAUGUCACACCAUCAGAAGAAAGAACAGCAGAAAAACAAGCACCAAAGAUGGAGAUGUCAUUACUGUUGGAAAUUUGGACACUCAAGGCCCUUCUGCUAUAAGUUGUAUGGUUACCUUACCUCCUUUCAUCAACAGAAGAGAAAACAGCAGGAUGGCAAACACCAAAAAUGGAGAUGUCAUUACUGUGGGAAAUCUGGACACUCUAGGUCCUCCCGUUAUAAGCUGUAUGGUUAUCCUAGCCAUGUUCAUCAACAAACCUACUAUGGACCCAGACCCAAAUAUCACAGGCCUAUCAACAAGAAGCAAUGGGUUCCUAAGACUAAUGUUCUAAGUCUAAUAGCUCACAAAGAAGAGUGGUAUUUUGAUAGUGGAUGCUCUAGACACAUGACUGGGAAAUCAGACCUGAUAACUGAUCUUCACCCUCAUGACUUAAGCUAUGUAACCUUUGAUGAUGGAGCUAAAGGUGAAAUAAAGGGGAUAGGCAAGCUUGAGUGCCCUGGAGCUCCUAAACUUGACAAUAUUCUUCUGGUCAAGGGCCUGACUUCAAAUUUAAUAAGCAUUAGUCAGCUAGGGGAUCAAGGUCUGAGUAUCAUCUUCACUAAAACUGAAUGUCAGAUUGUGAACAAAGACAGUGAAGUAAUUAUGAAAGGAAUUAGGACCAACAACAACUGCUACAUGUGGAGCUCUCAAAUGGAUAAUUCCUCUAAGAUAAGCACAGUUGCAAGAAGAAUCUUCAAGGGAAAAGAAAAGUGUCAGAUAAGGAUGCCAAGCCUCAAGGAAGAAAAGGUCAUGAUGGCCCAAACACCUGAACAUAUGACUGGUGGUAUGAAGUCUGAAGGUAGUAAAAACCUUGCUGAGACACAAGGGACUAUGAGUGCAAAGGAAAUUAAGAAGACAUCAGAUGAAAGUAACAAUGCUCAACCAAGUUGGAUAAAAAUUCUGACGAUUACAUACAAUGUCACACUCGAUGUUAUGACAUUAUAUUAUGACAGCCUAGAUGGUACACCUUUCAGCUGGACCAAGUACAUCACUUGCUUUCAUCACUCAUGUAGAAAAUAUGUUGAAAACAAACUCAUAGUUCUACAGCAUGAAAUGCAACUAACCAACAGGACUGCAAGGGAUUAACAUCACUUGCUUUCAUCACUCAUGUAGAAAAUAUGUUGAAAACAAACUCAUAGUUCUACAGCAUGAAAUGCAACUAACCAACAGGACUGCAAGGGAUUGGUAUGUUGUUCAACUAAAAUAUGAAAAAUUAGGGGUUUGGUUUCUUGAGAAAAUAUGGCAAUUAAUGAGGAGUGGAAAAGGCAACAAGAAUAUUGUCUGCCCAAUGAAAAGAAAAAGCCACAUUACUAAUGUACCAUCUCUUAGUAUUGGAAAUAGCACACUCUGCCUGAACACAAUCAAACUUAUCAAAGAACCUCUGCUAGGGCAAAGAAAGUUUUCUCAAAAGUUCAGCAACAUGUCUCAACAUCCGUCAACAUCUAGCUCAAAAUCCUUUCAGACUAGAACUUCCUCCAUGGAAUUUUUAGAUGAAGAUUUGAUGGAAGUAACUCCUCUGCGUAUGAUACCAGGUAACAUUCCAAGCUCACCUUCCGUGGCUAAAGCUAAGCAAGGUAACACUCCUAAAAAAUCGCCUGAUAAGAGAGGACAUGCACUCUACUGAUCGCAUCAUAAGAAACCUAGUUACUAUCAUACUGAAGGAAGAGCAUGGAGUUAAGGACACUUUUACCCCUCUGUCCAGAAGGGAACCCUCACCUGAGGUGGAAAGCCAAGCUGAGAAAGAUGAUAACUCAUCUAAAACAGAAAAGGAAGUAGCUGCUGAGGGUCUGUGUUCUCUUGGAAAAAACUUACCUAGUAUGUCCCCUGAUACUGCUCAGGACAUUAAGGAAGAAAGGUCUGAGGAAGAAGAUGACACGUUGGUCAAUCUUGUGAAAACAAGUGUAGCUAAUAGACUGAGAAAGAGGAAGAGUAUGGCUGAGAUAAGGACAUGUAGGAAAGAGAAAAGGGUUGCUGGUAUAGGUCCCUCCAAAUCUUGGAGUAAAGUAGAGGUCAGGAAGAAGAAAGACAAUGAAAGUUCUGAAUCUAAUGAGAAUGUUGAAGACGAUGUUCCAGACAUCUCCUCUGACAAAAGAAAGGCUGUAAAGAAAGUAGUUGCUGAGCAUCUAGACAAAUGGAGGUUUGUCACUGAUCAAACCAUCAGACAUGCCUCCACCAAUGCUGUAAAGUUACCCAUUGCAUUCCCAUCUAUCAUUUGUGGGAUCAUCCUGGGUCAACAACCAGGAAUCCUGAGUACAAGUGAUAUUCCAAGCAGGAGAAAAACUCCUUUGUCCAUUCAUUAUAAGUUGUUUGAGGGAAGUCAUGUCAAUGAUGUCAUGACAUCUGCCAGAAGGGAGUCUACAGCUAAAGGAAGCUUGAUUGACCAACUGAAAGAGAACUGCAAGGAAUUGGACAAUGGUAUAAGGGUGGCCAAGGCCAGAAAAGAAGCUCUAGAAGUUCUCAUCUGUAGCCUGGAAAGGGAAGACAUAGAAAAGGCUGGAAAAGACUCAAAUACAAGAUCCCAAUCCAGUUCUGAAAGCUCAGAAGACUCUGAAGGUGAAGCUGAAGAUGAAGAUGAAGGUGAAGGAGAUACUUCUUCUUCUGAUUAAUGGUUCCUGCCUGAAUUGAAGACUUGGAGGGGUGCUGGAAGGUGUGGUGGAAGCUGGGCUGCUGGUGCACAGGUGUCUGAUAUGGUGCACAGGUGUUGUUGUUGAAGCAGAUGUCAGUAUGACAUUCUGGCUGGUACAGGUGAUGGAGUUACAGUAGCUGUUUUUUGAUGAAUGCACAGAUUUAGGGGGGGAGAAGUACCCUUGUGCAUUGUGCAUUUGUGUGUCUUACUAGUUGCAUCCAUAACUAGUAAUUCUGUUGAUUGUUGCACAGAUUGAGGGGGAGGAGAAAUACCCUUGUGCAUGUGUGUAUUACUAGUAGCCAUAGCUAGUAAUUGUUUUUUGCUUCUGCUGCUGAUUAAACUACUGUUAUGUGGUUUAAACUGCUGAUAGUUUGCCUUGUGAACAAAAAGGACAGAUAUAUGUUUUAGCCAAAAUUUGCCAAAGGGGGAGUUUGUUGAUUCUAGUGUUGGCACAAUUUGGUAAAACAAAGAGUGUUCAAAGAUGUCAUGUGUGAUGUCUUAACAUGAGAUAUCCUAUGUACCUGCUGGAGUUAAAGAAGAUAUGCAAGCAGGAUUUUUCAUCAGAAUGCCACAUACAAAGACAAGGCUUCUGAUAUUGGUUGUACCUGCUGGAGCUUAACUGGAAGACAUAUUCAUGCAGGAUUGUUUCAGAUGACAUACACAAACUGUAACUUGGUAAAGUGUACGGAUAGUCUUUGAACUAAUUCUAUUAUAGUGGAUUUCCUUCCUGGCUUGGUAGCCCCCAAAUGUAGGUGAGUUGCACCGAACUGGGUUAACAAUUUCUUGUGUAAAAUGCUUUACAAUUCUGUUUAAAUUAUCCAUUGUGUAUUAACAGAUAUCAGUGUCGUGACAUUACCUUCGACAUCUUAUAUCUGAUACCAGAAUUUCAAAUUGUUAAACCCAUUGAAAAUAAUGACCCUAUGCCCUCUCCCAACUUUGAAUUUCCUGUGUUCUAAAUGGAAGAAGAGGAUGAUGAAGAGCUUCCUGAUGAGAUUUCUUAGUUGCUUGAGCACGAAGAAAAGACCAUUCAGCCUCAUAAAGAGCCGUUGGAAGUGAUUAAUCUGGGUUCCGAAGAUAACAAGAAAGAAGUCAAGAUUGGGGCACUGUUUUGUCCAGAUGUUAAGAAGAGUAUGGUAGAGCUUCUUAGAAAAUAUGUGGAUGUGUUUGCUUGGUCUUAUCAAGAUAUGCCAAAUUUUGAUACUGAUAUUGUGGAGCAUAGAUUACCAUUGAAGCCAGAAUGUCCGUCAGUUAAACAGAAAUUAAGAAGAAGUCACCCUGAUACGGCUGUCAAGAUUAAAGAAGAGGUGUAAAAGAAGAUUGAUGUUGGAUUCCAUGUUACUGCUUAAUACCCUCAAUGGGUAGCUAACAUUGUACCUGUUCCAAAGAAAGAUGGUAAAGUUCGGAUGUGUGUUGAUUAUAGAGACUUGAACAAAGCUAGUCCGAAAGAUGAUUUUCCUCUGCCACACAUUGACAUGUUAAUGAUAAUACAGCUAAGUCCAAUGUAUUCUCCUUUAUGGAUGGGUUCUCCGGUUAUAAUCAGAUCAAGAUGGCGCCCAAGGACAUGGAAAAGACAACAUUUAUUACACCCUGGGAAACAUUCUGCUAUAUAGUGAUGCCUUUCGGUUUAAAGAAUGUUGGUGCAACGUACUAGAGAGUCAUGACUACUCUUUUCCAUGAAAUGAUGCACAAAGAAAUAGAAGUUUAUGUUGAUGAUAUGAUUGCUAAGUCGAAGGCUGAAUAAGAUCAUGUUGAGUAUUUGUUGAUGUUGUUUAAGCGGUUGAGAAAGUUUAAACUCUGAUUGAAUCCUAAUAAGUGUACUUUUGGUGUCCGUUCAGGAAAACUAUUGGGUUUCAUUGUAAUCCAGAAAGGUAUUGAAGCAGAUCCUAAUAAAGUCAGAGUUAUUCAAGAUAUGUCUGCACCAAAGACAGAAAAGCAAGUUACAGGGUUCCUCGGAUGUCUGAAUUACAUAUCCAGAUUCAUAUCUCACAUGACUGUGAUGUGUGGGCAAAUAUUCAAGCUUCUCCGUAAAGAUCAAGGUUGUGUUUGGACAGAAGAUUUCCAGAAAGCUUUUGACAAUAUCAAGGAGUAUAUGCUUGAACUUCCUAUCUUGUCUCCUUCAGUGGAAGGAAGAUAUCUGAUUAUGUAUUUGACUUGUUAGAAGAGUCCAUGGGACGUGUGCUUGGACAACUAGAUGAAACUGGUAGAAAGGAGCAUGUCAUCUACUAUCUGAGCAAGGAGUUUACAAAUUGUGAAUCUCAGUAUUCCAUGCUUGAGAAGACUUGUUGUGGUUUAGCUUGGGCUACCAAACGUUUACGCCAGUAUAUAUCAAUCAUACCACUUGGUUGAUAUCCAAAAUGGAUCCAAUCAGGUAUAUUUUUGAAAAGCCUGCUCUGGAAGGAUAGCUCGUUGGCAAAUGCUAUUGUUUGAAUAUGAUAUUGAGUACCAUACUCAGAAGGCGGUUAAAGGAAGUAUUCUUGCAGAUCAUUUGGCUCACUAGCCAAUUGAUGAUUAUCAAUUCAUCAGGUUUUACUUCCCUGAUAAAGACAUUAUGUACUUAAAAGCUAAAGAUUACGAUGAACCGUUGCCUGAAGAAUGGCAAGAGCCUGCAUCUUGUUGGGGUUUAGUGUUUGAUAGAGUUAUUAAUGCUUAUGGUAAUGGAGUUGGGGAAAUCAUUUUUACUCCUAAGGGUUCACACGUCCCUUUUACUGCAAGAUUGAUGUUUGAUUGUACGAAUCAUAUGGCAGAAUAUGAAGCUUGUAUCAUGGGUCUUGAAGAGGCCAUUGAUUUGAGAAUUAAAAUCCUUGAUGUGUGUGGAGAUUCAGCCUUGGUGGUUAAUCAAAUUAAAGGAGAAUGAGAGACUCGUCAUCCUGGCUUGAUUCCUUACAAAGAUUAUACAAGGAGGUUGCCAACUUUCUUCAAUAAAAUAGAGUUUCAUCAUAUACCUCGUGAAGAGAAUCAGAUGGCAGACGCUCUGGCUACUCUGUCUUCUAUGUAUAAAGUAAAUCAUUGGAAUGACGCGCCCAGUAUCACAAUUAUGCUCCUUGAUAGACCUGCUCAUGUGUUUGCAGUAAAAGAAGUUACGGAUGAUAAGCCUUGGUAUCAUGAUAUUAAAGUUUUCCUCCAAAGUUAGGAAUACCCGCUUGGGGCAUCCAGCAAAGAUAAGAAGACUUUGAGAAGACUGGCUGGCAAUUUCUUUAUGAAUGAAGAUAUGUUGUACAAGAUAAACUUUGACAUGGUCUUGCUCAGAUGCGUGGAUAGACAUGAAGCAUACAUGUUAAUGCAAGAAGUUCAUGAAGGAUCCUUUGGUACUCAUGCCAAUGGACAGGCAAUGGCUAAAAAUAUGUUAAGGGCGGGUUACUAUUGGGUGACAAUGGAAUUUGAUUGUUGUAAAUAUGUGAAGAAGUGCCAUAAAUUUCAUAUUUAUGCUGAUAAGAUUCAUGUGCCACUGACACUUCUCAAUGUUAUCUCAUACCCAUGGCCUUUCUCUCUGUGGGGGAUCAAUAUGAUUGGUAUGAUUGAACCCAAAGCUUCGAAUGGACAUCAUUUCAUCCUGGUAGCUAUUGAUUACUUCACCAAAUGGGUUGAAGAAGCAUCUUAUGCUAAUGUGAUCAAGAAGGUUGUGGUCCAAUUUAUCAAGAAUCAGAUUAUUUGCCGAUAUGGUCUAUCAAGUAAGACCAUUACUAAUAAGGGUCGAACUUGAAUAACAAGAUAAUGAAAGAGCUUUGUGAAGACUUUAAGAUUUAACAUCACAAGUCUUCUCCUUGCAGACCUAAGAUGAAUGGGGUUGUUGAAGCUGCAAAUAAGAAUAUUAAGAAGAUUAUCCAGAAGAUGGUUAUGACGUAUAAAGAUUGUAAUGAGAUGCUCUCGUUCACUUUGCAUGGAUACCGUACGUUUAUCCGCACUUCAACAAGGGAAAUUCAUUUCUUUAUUGUGUAUGCAUGGAAUCCGUACUCCCUGUAGAGGUUGAGAUACCAUCAAUGCGAGUCCUGAUGGAAGCCAAUUUAUCUGAGGUUGAAUGGUGUUAGAGCAUAUAUGAUCAGCUGAAUUUGGUUCAAGAGAAGAGACUGACGGCCUUAUGUCAUGGCUAGUUAUAUAAAAAGAGAAUGAAGAAAGAAUUUGACAAGAAAGUUCGACCCCGCGUAUUCAGAUAAGGUGACCUUGUGCUUAAGAAGAUCUUGUCUUUCAACACUAAUUCUAGGGGCAAGUGGACUCCUAAUUAUGAAGGCCCGUAUGUUGUUAAGAGAGCUUUCUCUUAUGGUGCAUUGAUUCUUACAACUAUGGAUGGUGAGGAGCUCCCUCAUCCUGUGAAUGUCAAUACAGUCAAGAAAUACUUCUCCUAGAAAAAUAAAAGAAUAACUCACUAAGUUGAAAACCCGAAAGGGAGGCUUAGGAAAAAAUGAACAUUUCGGUGGAUUGAAAACCCGAAAGGGCGGUCCAGGAAAAAAUUAGAGACAUAAAUAUAAAAUAAUCACCCUCGGUAGAUUGACCCCGAAAAAGGAAAUCUAGGCAAAAGUUAGGGAUUAUGGCAAGUAAUUGCAUCAGGCCAGUUUGAAGCAACAAUGCCUAUCACAUGUUCCUUUUCCGUCAUCCUCGACCGAAGUCCAGAGCAUAGUGGAAUUCAAAGUUGUUAGGGAGAAUAGCAGUCAUUAUAUCUCAAUGUAUCCCUUUCCGUGUAUUUACCAUUUUCCAACUUUAUAAUGAUUCGUGGAGUCACACCAUUUGUGGACUCCAUCAAUAAAAUUUGAGUAUUUUGCCCAUUUGUUUGUUAUUCUUAUUUUGUUUUAGUUUAGGAAAUUUCAUUUAUUAUUUACCAUCAUUUUUGAAGCAAAAUAUAUAUUUAAACAAUCAUAUUCUUAAAAAUUUACAAAAAAAGAUAUGUAUUUUCCUCGACUUGUGAAUACAAAAGAGGAAUCUUAAUGGUAAUUCCAAGGAUGGUAAGAUCCUGAAGAAUGGAAUUCAGUGACUUCCCCAGGCCAAAUUUUCUUUUGUUACGUAUAAUAGUCUCCCCUGGAUCAGAUUGCGAGAAUGGUAGAAUCCCUAACGAAUCUCUUCCAGCAUCUCCAUCUUGUUCAGAUUAGUCAAGUAUCCGGUUGUACUAUGUUAUCAAUCUCACACUUUUGUGCUUGUUUUGUCAACAUAAUCAUACGCAUGUGCAUAUCAUCAUGAGGUUUAUUUACCAUUUUGCAUUUCUCGAUGCUCCCCCUGCUCUCUGGAACUUUUCUCCCCACAGAGUGUGUGCGUCUUCUCUCCAAUAGAGUGUCAACCUUAAGCAGAAAGAGUUUAUCUUUUCUAAUUCCCCACUGAGUUUGAUCCUCAUGGAAGAUUUUGUUUCAAUUUUUCUCUCCAGUUCAUUAUCUGGAUGGAAUCAAUCUCCAGUUGAGUUCAUGUCCUCAUUGGAUUGAGUCUUCUUUGACCGUUUCUCUCCAGUUCAUUCCUGGGUUGAACUUUGGUCCCUUUUGAGAUUAUUACCUUUGUUAAGCUAUCACUUGGCUUAUAGUAGGUAAUAUCUCUUUUGCCUUUGGCUUAUUACCUUUGUUAAGCUAUCACUUGGAUGAUAGUAGGUAAUAUCUCUUUUACCUUUGACUUAUUACUUUUGUUAAGCUAUCGCUUGGCUGAUAGUAAGUAAUAUCUCUUUCACCUUUGGCUUAUUACCUUUGUUAAGUUAUCACUUGGCUGAUAUUAGGUAAUAUUUCUUAUCUUUGGUUGGUUACCUUUGUUAAGUUACCACUUAGUUGGUAGUUGGUAAUCAUUAUGUUUUGGCUUAUUACCUUUUUUAAGUUAUCACUUGACUGAUAGUAGGUAAUGAUUCCUCUUACCUUUGUUUGGUUACCUUUGUUAAGCUAUCACUUGGCUGUUAGUUGGUAAUCAUUCCAUUUUAGCUUAUUAUCUUUGUUAAGCUAUCACCUGGUUGAUACUUAGGUAAUAUUCCUCUCAUAUUGGAGUUGGAGUUUUCCCCUUUUGAUGAUUUCUUUUCCCUGGCGAGGUCUUGCUUUGAUAAGUAUUUCCCCGUUGGAUCUUUAGUUUGUUUUCUAAUUGUGCAUUGGUUAUUCUCGAGUCUUUCCUUUUCCCCUACGGAAUUUUGUUUGUCCCUAGCCGGGUAUCCCUGUAGAAACUAACCCCCCCCCCCCACAACCCACACACACACACACACACAGAGAUAUUUUGGUUUGCAUUCAUAUCAUAUCAUAAGCAUCUUGCGGUAUCUUAAGGCCAAAAAAAUGGGUCUUUAAUAUUUAAGUCUCUUUAAUCUUUUCGAGACAAAGAUUUCAACCUUCAUAUCUCUAAAUUGAAGAAACUUAAAUAGGGUCAUCUGUCAUACCCUAAUUUUUAACCCUAAGAUCCCACAUAUCAUUUGCAUCAUUUGCACACAAACAAUAUCACAUCUUGGUCCUUUAUCCAUCUUUAGGUUUGCUUUUUGUUGGCUUAUUUUACCUUUGUGUUUACAUGAUUAAUUUCUUAUCUAACCACUGAUCAAAAUAGCAAAAAAUAUGUAUUGUUUCCCUUAAGUUUAUUAUGAAAGGUAAUGGUUUUUCAAUCAAAAUCAUCUCAAAGUCUUUGGCUUACUUUUCAAAGAAAGUCAAAGGUUCAUGUGUUUAUUUCCAUGCCUUCUUCAAUAAGCAACUUCAAGCUUUGAUAAAUUUAAGCAAUAGGAAAUCAAGGACACCUUAUCUUGAGUUCAUAUGAUCACCCAUGUGCUUUGAAAUUCAAGGAAAGUCCAAGUACACAAGCUUGUUCCAAGAGGUUUGACCAAAAGUCAACCAUUUUAAGUCAAAGUUCCAAGGAUCAUAACUCUUUCAAUUCUCAACAUUUUUGAAUUCUUCUUUUUGCAUAUGACUAUUCUCAACAUCUUAUACAACUUCUCUUUACAUGACAAGAGCCAAUUAUGCUCGGAGGAUCAUCAAAUGUUUUGAGACAUUAUAGGUCAUUUGUGGACUUAGUGAAAUUUAACCUAUUUUCAAAUGACUUUUUCCCAACUUUCAAAGACCAUAACUUCUUAAAUUUUCAACAUAUGUGGCUGAUUAUUUUUGCACAAUAUCAUUUGUGAUGCCAUCUACAAGUUUUCUUCAAGGACCAAGGUUAGAAUAUGCUUUGAAGGUCAUGGAAUUCAUUGAGACAUUACAAAUUAUUUUCAGCCAUGAAGUACUCAAAUGUUUCUAAGUUAUAUGAUCGGUUUUUCAUGUCAACUUCAACAUGACAUAACUUUAUGCUCAAGCUUCCAAAUUCAACCUUUAUUGGCACAUUGUAAUCUUUUCCAUGAUAUUAACACAUUUCAAAAAGAAUGGGAUCAAAAAGUCUCCUGAGUAGAGUACCCCAUUGGGUUGAAUAUGGUGACUUGUAACUGAAGAAAUAGCCAUUGCCAGAGUCUUGAACUUCAUUAAUCUCAAUUACAAGCCAAAUUUGCAUGUGUUUUGGACCUAAACAUGUUUAACCAAGUCUCCAGAAGAUAAUUAACUCUUAAAAUGCAUCAUUUGGCUGAGUUUUGAGGAGUUUCAAGUCACACUUUUCUCACAUUCAGAUCAAAUUCAUUUUGCAUGAAUUCUGCAUCAUUUCACACGUAUUUGGAUCCAAUCAUAUUCCUUAUAAAUAUAGGGAGCUAUUGCAUUCAUUUCCAAGCUUUGGAGAGCCAAGAAAUCCCUACUGCAACUUGAAAUUUUUCCAGAAAAUACAACGAUCGUGUUUUGAGUUUCAGCUUGUUUCAAUCUAAUUUCUUGAUUCCAUUAGCACCUUCGGAAUCCUCUGAAACUUUUGCAACAAUUCCCAAAUUCUGAGACCUUCUGAAGUGCUCUAACCAGAUCUAGUUUCAUCAACUUCUGAUCACCAUUUGGAUAAGGUAGUUCUGAGCAUCAUUUGAACUCAAACAAGUUACCAUAAUCUGAUGAUUUCCCCUAACUUAUUUGGUGUUGAUUGAUCGUGUUCAUCAUUUAAUUUUAUUUUUCGUGGCUUGCUUGUUUCUGAAACUUCUAUGAAAUUCCCUUUGCUCAGUUUACAUAAAUGAAUUUGGAGCAUGAGGUUGAAUUCUGGAUGAGAAGAGGAUCACAAUUGUGGUGGUCUCGUGUUUUGAAUUUACCAAACGACGAAGCUCCAGUGAGAGCUCACCAGAGAAGACGGCCGUAUUUUUCUCAGGUUGUCUGAGUUUGGUCAGACACGUUUGAGGAAUGAAAUAUUAUGAUUGGUUGGAUUUAAAUUGGAUUCUGUGUUUGACUUAUAGCGCAUUUCAUCGUGUUCUCUAACAUAUGAAGUGUUGGAUCUGCCACGUCAAUUAAUGAGGUGUGAUCCAACGUUCCGUGUUUUUUAUGAUUUUAAUUCUUUUUCUUUUAUUAUUUUUAAUUUCUUUUUCUUUUAAAAUUCAUAGUAAUUUCAUUUUUUAUCCAAAAUAAUUUCUAAAAUUCUCUUUUGUUUUUCUUCAUCUGAUUUUUAUUUUUUCACAUUUUAUUUCACUGAUUUUCUAUUUUUCAUGAAUUUUGUCUUUUCCCCUUUGUUCUAAUUGGUUUAAAAAUAAUUUUCUGCAUUUUUAAAUUCUGAAAAUUUUAUUAUAUGCUUUUUAUUUCAUUUCCAACCUUCCAUAAUAUUCUUAGCCAUUUAUUUGGUGUUUUGAAGGACUUUAUGGAUUUUCCAUUUUAUUUCUAUUUUAAAAUUACUUUUGGUGCAUUUUUUAUUUCAUUUAAUUUCAUUUUAUAUAUGUGAACUUCUGUUGGCCAUGGACCAUGAUGGUUUGGACUUCAAGUUUCAUCAAACUCAAUGGAUCUUGGGUGUUGAUGGGGUGAGUAUCCUAAUCCAUCAAAAUGGAUGAUUGAUUUUGAUGAUGACUUGAUCAAACCUUUGGUCCAAUUUGGGUAUGACUUUUCUUGUCUCCUUCUUCUUCAUAUUUUUCUUUUCCCUUUGAUCAAUUGGAUGACUUGUGUCCAUCUUAUUCAUGAUGUAUGGAUUGGUACUUGAUAAACUUUCGUCAUUUCAAAUCUACCUCCUAAUUGAUCAUGGAUCAUUUAAGGUACUUUAGAUUGAUGCAUAAGUUUGCCUUAUGUGUCAUGAAGUAUGGAUUGAAGUAAUGGACCAUCCUCCUAGCCUUCGUGCUUGAUCAUCCCCUUUCUUUCUUUCUUUUUUUAUGGCAUUACUUUAGGAGAAUGAUUUACAUGUCAUUUCUUUAUCAUGUAUUAACACAAACCUUAUUAUUGAUCGGCCUCGGAUAGUUGUGACUUCUACAUAAGUCCAAUUACGAUUGUUUAACAUAGCACUAAAUUUGUCCCAAAAGUAAAGGCAUUUUUAUAAGUGAGAUUGUAAGUCUUUUAUUCCUCAUGGUAUUUUGUGAAAAUGUUGCUACUUUUCCAUUUGUGAGAGCUAGUAGUAUACUUGUUGAUCCUUAUCCAAGUUAGAUCUCUUCUCAUGAUAAUGCAAAGUUCUCAUACUUGUGGGUGACUAGUUGAGUAUUCUCCUUAAAGUGACAAAAUGUCUUUCCAUUAAAAAUGAAUCAAAACAAACACCUUUGUCAUUUUUACCACGAACUACGGGGUUUUGAUCCUCCAUUGCACUUUGUUGGUACGUAGGCAUGAGACUUCAAAAGUCUUGGCAAACACAAAAAUAAGAAAAAUAUACUUCAUUUCCCAUCUCUCCAAUCUUUUGCAAAUAACACCCUUUUCAAACCAAAAUGUACAUAUUUUCAAAGAGGUUCCCAUGGAAUACCAUGGAUGUUUAGGGUGAUAAUACCUUAUCUUUGUAUAACUAACACCCAGACAUUUGUUCUCUUUUUAUUAGUUUUGUUUUAAAACUUCUUCGGGUUUUGUUCAUACUUUUUUCCUUUUCCUUUGGAAACAAUAAAGGCGUGGUGGUGACUCUUGCUUUAUGAGUUAAGUUAAUCGAUAGCUUAAUCUCAAAAAAUUUACCGCUACAGCGUAUGGAGGCCCAAAUUGCUGAAGCCCAAAAACACUGUCUAUUUAACUGGAAAAUGAGAACUUUCACUAGUUGGACGAUUUUAGACGGCAAAAACAUGUUUUGAAGGUUGGAGAACUCAGAUUUUCGAGGUGGAUUCAUAUUUUCUAGAGCUUUUUGAGAUUGAAUAUCAAUUCAUCUAAUUUUUUUGUAAUGGAGACAUUAUUUAUCAUGUUUUAUUUUAUUUCUAUGGGUACCUAAACCCCCCAGUGCUAGGGGGUGUCCCUGAUUCAGAUUUGUAAUGAAUUCAAAUUCCUCUUUGCAAUAACAACCUUAUUUUAUCAUACUUGAUUUAUUCUCUUGACUGAUUUAGUGCUUUCUCUGUUGCAUAAACUGAGUUUGAUUUAUGAUGAACAAUAAGGCUAGACUUCCAUUGUUCAGGAUCUGUUUGAGAAUAUUUUAUAGUAAAUGUCGCCUAGGACUAGGGAUACCCUAUAAAAACCGGAUUAUUCUUGAUAGAAUAAUGCUUAAUUUCAUUCGUACUUUUCUAUGGAUAUAGGAGUUAGGCUGAAUGAUUAAAGGUUUUCUUACUAAGGACUUAGGAGUAAACACUUGUAAGAAUCGGUAAUUAAUUAUCUAAAAUAUGUUGUUGCAAUGUUAGUUUAGAGUCGUCACAUAAUUGAAUCAUACAUUAUCCCUAACAUAUUACUCAUAUCUUUAUAGACCAUACAAUUACUUUGUUUACUUUAUUCACAAUUACUUUCAUAAUUUAACCAAUCAAUCCAAAAACCCUAAUGCUUUUAUUUAAUUGAAAUUUAUCCAAAACUUUGUAUCGUCAAGCAGUCCUUGAGAUCGAUACUGGGGAUUUCCCCUCUUAUUACUACAUUGGCAAAUUAGUACACUUGCUAAUUUACUGAUCAAUAACUUCCUUCAUAACCAUCAACACCAGUAGGACACAAACAUGAUGGACGAGUUAGAGGUAUUAGAUCCCAAGCCUCUAUUUGGUGAGAUAUGGGAGGUGCCGAUCCCAGGGAACUUCAAGUUGCCAUUUAUGGCUAAGUUUAACGGACGCGGUGACCCAUAUGAACAUGUAGCAUCCAUCAAAUUUUAUAUUGCCAUAAUUGGGUAACAUGACUCCUUAAAGUGUAAGCUCAUGUCUGGAACCUUCAGAGUCACAAAUAUGAGAUGGUUUAUGGGCCUCCCUGAAUCUCCGUAACCAACUAUCAAGACUUGGUGAAGAAUUUGAUUCAUCAAUUCUUCACAAACAAGCAUAGGAAGAUGAUCGGCACCAGUCUAUUCAACAUUCACCAAGGUCCCUUGGACUCACUGAGGGAGUAUCUAUCCCACUUCAACGAAGCAACAAUCAAGGUAAUCCAUCCAAAUCAGGAAAUAUUCCUAGGAGAAACUAAGUCUCUUCAGGAUGACUUAACUAAGUCUCGCCUGAAGGACUCAACUAAGUCCCAUAUAAGGGACUCAACUAAGACUCACUGAGAAGACUCAACUAAGUCUCACCUGAGGGGCUCAAAUAUGUCUCGUUGGGAAGAAUAAACUAAGUUUCACCUGAGGGACUCAACUAAGUCUCGCUUGAGGGACUCAACUAAGUCUCGUCAGGAAGACUCAACUAAGUCUCUCUUCAGAGGCUCAACUAAGUCUCUCCUGAGGGAAUCAAUUAAGACUCGUCGAGAAGACAACUAAGCCUCGCCUGAAAGACUCAACUAAGUCUCAUUGGGAAGAAUCAACUAUGUCUUGCUUAAGGGAUUCAACUAAGUCUCGUCAGGAAGACUCAACUAAGUCUCGCCUGAGGGACUUAACUAUGUUUCGUCAGGAAGACUUAAUUAAGUCUUUCCCGAGGGACUCGUCUAAGUCUCAUUUGAGGUAUAUAACUAAGUCUUGCAUGAGGGACUCAAUUAAGCCUCUUCAAUAAGACUCGACUAAGUAUUUCCUGAGGGACUCAACUAAGUCUCGUCGGGAAGAUUCAACUACGUCUCGCUAUAAGGACUCAACUAAGUCUCGUUAGGAUUAUUCAACUAAGUCUCGUCUAAGGGGCCUAAAUUUGUCUCGCAUGAGGGAAUCAACUAAGUCUCACCUGAGGGACUCAACUAAGUCUCAUCAAGAAGGUUCAGCUAAACCUCGUCCAGAAGGUUCAUCUAAAGCCUAAAAAAUUAAAGGUAAUAGUCAAGAUUCGACUAGGAUUUCGUGGAAAGUUUGAAUAUGAGUAAGGGAUUAAAACACUUCGGACUCUACGAGUCCAUGUACUUGAGGGAAUGUGUAGUGGUGUAUUGUAAGGGAUCAUGGGGGCGGGUCAGAGGCUUAUGCUUCACCCAUCGUUAUUUCCAAGUUGCCUUUUUAUUGGUUAGAGUGCCCCUCUUUCAGAUAGAGUAUCCCUUAUCUGAUACAUCAGUUGGUUGUUUCCCGUCUCCUUCCAUAAAGUGAAAUCGUACAUAAAACGGGUAUUUGGUAAACAAACAUUACAUGGGAAGUUGUGGGAUUUAACUAUACUUUCUGGAUUUUAGGGAAUCAACUACCCAUUUUUGGAGUGGUUGCUACGUCUUAGGGAGACUUGGGUUAAGGCUUAGGAGAUUAUAAAUAAAUAAGUAUUAUGAUAAACAAUAGUAUAUACACAUAAAUACAUACAUACAAGAGCUUCUCAAUCCAUCUUAAUGACUAGGGGUUGUCACCCAUUUAUACUUUUCGCAAGUACAAUAUUGAAGACUAAUUUUGACAUCUUGUAACAUAAAUAUAUUAUAUUUCACAAUUUUUUCAAAAAAAAAAUGUAUCUUAAAAAUAAUUUUUAUAAAAAAAAACUAUUUGAAAGCGAUUUUUUUUUAAAUUAUGAUAUCUAAAAAAUGGUAUAGUAAAAUAAUUAAAUAUUUUAAAAAUAACUAUUUAAACUAAUUUUUUUAAUGUUAUGAGGUAAUUGAUAAUUCAAGUGUUGUAACUGUUACCACGGGCGUGUAACAGGUCACAAUUGUGUGAAAAAGUAACACGAAUGUUAAAAAAAGGGAAAUUCUCGUUGGUGUAACCGAUUACGCAUUCUCAGUAACCGGUUACCCCUAUUUUAUUUUUAGAGUUUGUUUCAACUGUAACUUACAGGUACGAGAUUUUCAGUUUUCUGUUAUUUUUCAUGUUGUAAAUUGUGUUCCAAUCCAUUUGUAAUUGUAUAUGUACCUUGGAGGUAUUAUGAAUGAAAACUAAUGAUAUUUCUCACCCUCAAUUACUCUCUCUCUCUCUCUCUCCACGUUCAAUUUCUCCAUUAUUCACCAAACUUGUGGUUCCAAGUUCUAACAUUUGGUAUCAAUAGCCUAGUUCUAAUCCACAAACACCUAGUGUGCAACAUGAAUUUGUCUCCAAUAAAGAAUAAAUGAAAACCUACCCAUCAUUUAUGCGAAGAAUUAUGAAAAAUGGUGCAAACAAAUAAAGAUGUUGUUUGGCUACCAAUAUGUUUUUGAAGUGAUCAAGAAUAGGGUGAAUCCUCUUGUCGAAGGUGUAACUGAUGCACAAUGAGCAAUAGAUAAUAAAGAGAAGAAGAAAGGUUUCAAGGCAUUUUUUUAUCCACUAAUGUGUGGAUGGUGAAAACUUUGAGAAAGUUAGUGAUUGUGAAUCAUUGAAGCAAGCGUGGGAAAUCUUAGAGAAGGCAUACGCAGGGGAUGACAAGGCAAAGGUGGUGAGGUUACAAACUCACAAACGCCAACUUGAAUUGAUUCAAAUGGAAGAAAAGGAGACGACCAAUGAUUUCACAAUGAGAAUCACUCGAUAAUUGAAUCAUGUGAAGGCAUGAGGAGAAACAGUCACGGGGCAAUAUGUUUUCGCGAAAAUCUUGUAUUCUUUAACGUCAAGAUUUGACAAUGUGGUCGUAGUGAUUGAGGAAUCGAACGACCCUGUGAUAUUAGCAAAUAGGAGCUAUAAAGCUUUCUUGAGACUCAUGAGCAAAGGAUGGAGGAGAGAAAUUAUGAUAAGGCAAAGAUGGAGCUAGCUUUGGAAGCUUGUUUCAACGAGAUGGACAAGAGAUCGAAAGGAAAAUGGCCCAUGAAGAGUAAAGGGAAUUUUUUAGAAUUUUGGUGGAAGAGAGUCCUAAAGUUCCAAGAAUUCGACUUGUUAAAGGGGUGAGAACACGUGCAACAAAAAUGGUGGUCAAGGAAACUUUAGAGGUGAAAGGAAAAGUAUUGAUAAAAGCAAGGCGUGGUGCUUUAAAUGUCAAAUGUUCGGCCAUUUUGAAAAAGAGUGCAAUACAAACAAGAAGGAACCUCAAGGAUAUGGAGCCAAGGUUAUAAGACAAGUGUUUGAUGAGGAGAACACACUUUUCAUCAUGAUCACAUAGGGGGGAUGCAGUAGCAGCAUGCUGCGGGACAGCAGCAACGACAAUUUUGGAAACGCUGCAGAAGCAUGUUGUAAUCGGUUAGUAAAAGUUGUAAGUUACAAGAAGAAGAAAAUGUCAUGAUGAGUACGAAAGGUGCAGUUCAGUACAUCAAUAAAUGGUAUAUGGACUUUGGAUGUUCUAAUCAUAUGAUGGAGAGGAAAUAUUGGUUUGUUAAAAUCAAUCAUGCCAUGAAUAACAAAGUGAAGUUCGUGGAUGACACCACUAUAGUAGUCGAUGGGAUCGGUGAUGUUUUGAUCGUGAGAAGGGAUGGUGGGCAUUACUUGAUCAAAUAUGUAUUGUACAUUCUAGAAAUUAAAUGUAACCUUCUAAGUAUUUGGUCAAUUGCUUGAGAAGGGUUACAAGAUUCACACGGAAAGCAAAGGACAACACGUUAUGGAUGCAAACAGGGUUUUAGUCCUUAAAGUUCCUAUGGCUUCCAAUAGAACUUUAAAGUUUGAGUUGAAGGUUAUAAAGCAUAGGUGUCUUGCUACAGCGACUAUUCAAGAAGAAUGGAUAUGGCAUUGUUUUAUUGGGCAUCUUAAUUUUCGAGAUCUCAAUGCAUUGCAAAAGAACAAAAUGGUAAUGGGGUUUCCAUUGAUAAACAUACUGGCUGAAAUUCGUGAUAAAUGUGUGCAAGCGAAGCAACAUAAGGGUGAAUUCAACAAGUAUGUAGGUUAUAGAACUAAGAGUCACCUUGAGGUGGUGUAUUUGAAUGUAUAUGGACCAAUGCAAGUUGACUCGAUUGGUGGUUAUAGAUAUUUUGUCACAUUCACCGACAAUCAUAGUAGAAAGCUAUAGACAUACCUAAUCAAGAGAAAGGAUGAGGUAUUUGAAGUGUUUAAGAAGUUUAUGUCCAUGAUUGAGAGGCAAAGUGAUCACAAGCUCAAAGUUCUCAAAACGGAUGAUGAAGGCGAAUAUGUCUCAAAAUACUUUGAGAGAUUUUGUGAUCAAGAAGGGAUAGUACAUGAGGUUGUACCACCUUAUACACCGCAACAAAAUAGUGUCGCCGAAAGGGAUAAUCUAUUGAUUAUGAACAUGGUAAGAAGCAUGUUAAAGGGGAAGAACUUACCGAAAGAGUUAUGGGGAGAAGCAUUAUCCACAAUUGCAUAUUUGUUGAAUAGGUGUCUGAAAAAGAAGCUUGAGAAGGUAACACCAGAGGAAGCAUGGUCAGGAUUCAAACUGAAUUUGAACCAUUUGAAAUUUUUUGGUUACGUAACGUAUUGACAUGUUCCGGGGCAGCUUAGAAAGAAGUUUGAUGAUAAGGGAGAGUUAAUGAUACUUGUAGGGUAUCACUCUACCAGUGCUUACAAGUUGUAUGAUUCAGCAAACAAGAGGAUUAUGAUCAACAGAGACGUCAUUUUUAACGAGAUCAAGCAGUUCUAGUAUCUUGUGACUGGUUAUGUAAAAGCUCUAACCAGUUACAGCAUUGAAAAUUCAGUUUCUGCAGAAUUUGAGAGUGCAAAAAUGGUCGUCGUCGAAGCUUGAAUUGAAUAGAAUGUGAGAAGAUCAACAAUGCAAAGAGGUUUGCCUAAAAUACUCCAAUAUUGUAAGAUGUUCUGAAACAGAGAAGUCAAUGAUGAGGGUGAUUUCUUCCAUUGUUCACUUAUGGCCGAAUUGAAACCCGUUAAAAUAGAAAAGGCUUUAAGUGAUCCAGAAUGGAUUUGUGCUAUGAAGGAUGGGCUGGAAUCUAUUGAGAAGAACAAUACUUGGGAUUUGUUUGGUCUACCGGAUGGGAAUAAGCCAAUUGGUGUGAGAUGGGUGUUCAAAGUGAAGGCAAAUAUCAAGGGUCAAAUAAUCAAGCAUAAGGCUCGAUUAGUUUCAAAAGGAUUCUUGCAAAGAUAAGGCAUAGACUUUGAAGAGGUAUUUGCAUCGGUUGCUAGGAUUGAAACCAUUAGGCUAGUUGUUGGUAUUGAAAAUAAUAAAAAUUUGCCCAUCUAUAAAAUGGACAUUGAUCCGCUGUCGUGCACGGGUUAAAACGAGUAAUUAAAAACAGUAGGUUAAGGAAGCAACACUCGAGAGUCAUAUCGCAAGGACUCUUGAAUUGAAUUUUACCAACUGAAAAUGAUGGGGGUUUUAAGGUUUAGGUUUUGAAUAAAAUAACAGUAAAAAGGAUUUGAUUACAAAUAAGCUAAAAUGGUUAAUCCUACUGAUUUGGGUUUCGACUUAUCAUUGGCUAUUCUAAAUCCAAUCCCCUAAGAGGCUUCGAUUCUAUUCGAAUAUGAAAUCAAUUAGACAAGCGUUAUCAAUAUCAUGUGAGUUAUGUUCCUAUUUACCUCAUUAAGCAUGAAAAUUUAAAGAUUACGCUAAGCUAACAUACAAGCUAAGUUAACAUGCAAUUAAAAUUAGGAACAUGCAUACAAUCAAAUUUUAUCACUUUUAUCCUAUGAGUAGCAAUCAAAUUAAGAAAACAAAAUUGAUCAAAUUAAGAAAACGAAUACAUAGGUAGAAUUGAACAUAAAAAAAAUUGAAUUGGAAUUAAAAUAACCUCAAAAUGGUGGAACCCCUAAUCAGCAGAAUUUGCCUUAAGGAUUAGUUCUCCAUGAAAAUCGUACAAAGCUAGGAAUUUCGUGAAUAGUGAAUAAUGUGUAUGAACAAUAUCCGUGGCUUAUUUAGGUUAACGGAAACAAAGAAUUCGGGUUUUAAUCCCAACUGGAUCAGAAAACAUAAAAACCGGCCCAAAACUGGCACAAAACUAAUUAUUUUCUAAAGUUUGAAACUAAAACGAUUUAUUCGAGUCUUUUACACUCCGAAUUUGCUUCUGACUUCAACAUGAAACUUUUAUCUUAUCCUCUCAGAUUUCCAACGCUUAUUAGAACGCGUCAAUCUAAUUCUCAUAUCCCAAGUUAUUACCUAUGAAGCGAGAGGGCAUAAGUAGUUUUUUAUUCAGAACAUACCAUGCGAAAUUAAAAUAAAUGUAAAAAUAAACUAAGCUAAGGAAACUAAGCUAUGAAAGUAGAAUUGUUGCAACAUAAUAGUAAAAGAAUGUGAGUGAAAAUGCACUGAAUAAAUUCCCCCACACUUGAACUUUUGCACUCCAAACAAAAUUCUAAAGUUAAAAUUCAAAACAAAAAAAUAGGAAGAAAACAGAGCAUGCAAAUUCAAAGACUUUCAAAAUCACAAGGGUGCAAGUAAAAUCCUCAUUCUAAGCUUCAAGAAAUAUGGUGUUAGUGAGUAAAAUUCAAUGAUAUUCAAAGGAAGUAAGAAGAUAAUUUACCAAAGAGUAUAUCAUAAGCAGCAAGAUCCUCAUGAAAAAAUUCUCUCAACUCUCAAGUGUUUAGGUUUCUAUUUAAACUCAAAGCACAUCAUGAAAACUAGCACUGCCAUAAGCUUGAAAAGACUACAACAUACACAAGUUAAAUACAUGCAUACAAAGAUGAAAAGGACUUUCAUUAGGGUUGUAACUUGGCCAAGGUAAGAAUAAGAUAGAUCCUAAGGGAUACUAGGCUAUAAUUCAAAAGGUUAAAAGAAAAUUGAAAGAAACUGUGGGAGUUGAACUAAAUAAAACUUCAUUCACUUUCAAACAACAACCUUGCAGUUAUUUAUCUUCUCUUUUUUAUUUUUAUUCUUCUUCUUUUUUUCUGAAGGAAUAUGUAUUGUCAUCCUUCUUUUCUUUUUCUAUUUUUUUUCUUUUUCUAUUUUUUUCUUUUUCUAUUUUUUUCUAUUUUCUGUCAACUUUUGAAUGAAAUAUCACAACUAUAAUUAUUCAACCCCACACAACUUCAAACAAGACUCUUUCAACCCUUUGAAUAGGGUGAUAAUAUUGAUUUCCACUUUUUGGCUUGUAAUGAGUUUUAAACAAAGAAUGGGAUAAUAGGCUCAAGGGGUUUUUAAACAAGGGAUGAUAUAUUCAGGGUUAGCUUUUUGGCUAACUAGCUAAAAAAAUAAGUUGUAUUUAUCAUAUUAGUGUGCACAAGUAAACAAAAAACUUCAACAAGAUUCAAUUCAAGUUCUAGAGACUAACAUACAUGAGUGAAACACACAAGAAAUAAAAAGAUGGAUUUUUGAAUGUUAUCUAAUAUUAGGCUCAAAAUUGAACAAGGUAAAUGAUCUACUACAAAUGAUGAAUAAUUAAGGGUUUAGUCCUACCUAUCAUACUAGGAAUGCAUAGCAAAUCAAUCACGUCACACCACGAGUCUUUAACCAAUAGAACAGAGAAAUUACUCACACAACACUUGCAACCUAAAAAUCAAUGAAAAAGCAUGCAAUUUUUUUUUAAGAAAACAACAAAAAAAAAACAAAAAAAAACAAGGAAAAAUAAAAUGGUUCCCUCCCCCACACUUAAGAUACAUAUUGUCCUUAAUGAAAUAACAUAAGUAUAAAAUAAGAGAGAGAGAGAGAGAGAGAGAGAGAGAGAAGAGAUAGAAAAUAACACACCCGAGGAGUCAAGACGGAUACAUGAUUGCAUAAGCAGUCUUUCCCAAAGAUAGCUCUUCUACAAUGUCUUCUUCCAAAGUGGGACUCUCAUGGAGUAGUCUUGGGCAGUGUCCAUUGUUCUUGAAAUUUUUAGUAGUGCGUUCAUCUUUUAUUCCAGGAUCAAAGAAGGAUCUUCCAUAAGUAAAAUUGUCGAAUGGGCAAAUGAAAGUGGUCUCGUUUUUCACAACAUCGAGAAUCAAAGGAUUAAGGGGUUGCCUCACUACUUUUGUUUUAUCUUCAAGUGAGAACCUAUGGAUACUCAUAGAUGGGCUAAUGUCACGAAUGUCAACCAAGGUCCAUCCAAUUCCUUUUUUAUGUUCCUGCAAUAAUUUAUCUUCCUGCUCAAAUUGAAGCUUCGAUGAAUAAUAUAAAUCCUAGGGAAGUGGUUUAGGUUCAAAUAAGGUGGUUGUACAAUGGAUGGUUUGGCUGGGGCAGCUGGGAUGUCGAAAGCUUCAAUUGUAUAAACAGUUUCAGGUGCAUAAACAGCUUUAUCUACAACUUCAUCUGUAGAAAAAAUAUCAACCUGCAAGGUAACCUCGUCUGUAGGAAAAAUAGUAAGUAUCAUCAAAAUCAGACAAUGAUGAGAAAUCAGCUGAAAAUAAGUCAGAAUAAGUAUGAUCAACAAACUCAGAAAGCAAUUCAAUAUGAAAAACAAAAUGUUCCUCCAUGGGAUGUUUCAUAGUAUCAAAAGUGUUAAAUUUAACAAUGGUAUUAUCAAACUCCAUGGACAUUGUAUCAUCAUCAACGUCAACUUUUGUUUUUGCUAUUUUCAUUAAUGGUCUGCCUAAAAUGAUGGGUGCCAUGUUUGACCUAGUUUCUCCUUCCAUGUCCAAAAUGUAAAUAUCAUAAGGAAAAAUUAAGUCAUUAACUUGAACAAGUACAUCUUCUACUACUCCAGCAGGACGGACAUUGCUCCUGUUUGCCAACUGAAUGGUUAAACAUGUAUUCUGAAAAGGACCAAGAUCAAGAUUAUUAUAAACAGAAGUGGGCAUAACAUUAAUAGAAGUUCUUAAAUCCAAGAUGCAACUUUUGAAUUUACUAUCCCCGAUGGUGCAUUGAAUAGCAAAAGUUCCAGGAUCCUUGCACUUUUGGGGCAUGGCCUAGGUGGGAGCUGAAACAUUUUGCUUAGUUGUAUCUUUUUCAGGUGCUUUAGGUUGAAUGAAGACAGAAAAAUUUCUUCCCACAUUCACUCUCUCAUUCCCCUUCAAUCUCCUCUUAUGAGUGCAUAAGUUUUUAAGAAACUUGGUAUAUUUGGGAAUUUGCUUAAUUACAUCAAGAAACUGAAUGUUCACCUCCACCUUUCUGAAUAUGUCCAAUAUCUCCUUAUCCUUAUCUUCCUCAUCCAACUUUUUGUUUUUUACAACUCUUUGUGGAAAAGGAAUUGGUGGUACAUAGUCUUUACCAAUAACAACUUCAAAAUCAGGCAUGGGCUCAAUAACUUUUUUAUUUUUUCUAGGGUUGGUUCAACCGCUUCAACACUUUUUCCAGAUCUCAAGGAAAUUGCACUCACAUUAGGGCCUUUUGGUUUCACUACUGUUUGGACAGGUAAUUGGUUUGAUCCUUGAAUUUGUUGCAUGACAUUCAUUGAAGUGGAAAGCUGUCCAAUCUGUGUCUGCAAGUUCUGAAUACUAGAAUUUGUUCGCUUAUGAAAUUGGAGAAUAUUUACAGCCAAUUGCUUGACAAGGUCAUCUAGUGAAGGUCCGGAAGGUGCAUAGGUGGUUACUUGUGGGGUUUUUUAUGGUGGUGGUAGCGGUAGCAUAAAGUGUUGUUGACUAGGUUAUUAUAUGGAUGGGUUCUUAUGCCAAAGGUUUGGAUGGUUACCUAUUAGUGGAUAGGUCAUGAGUGUUGUAGUACCUGUACUAGUUGUUGCUUUGAGGGUUGUAGAUUUUUGUUGCGUAUGCUUGAGGCAAAUCUAAAGUAGGACAAGUAUCUGUUGGGUGUUCAAGAGAGGUGAAAAUGCCACAUAAUCUUUCAAAUUGAGUUUUUCUUACUGCUAGUUGUCUCACCAAUGAAGUAAGCUCAUCAAUUCUGGUUUCUAAAGCCUCGUUGGAAGGAGAAGCUUGAAUUCCAUGCACUCUUUUUAUUAGAACCACAGAGUUGCUUUUGGUUGUGAAUUAUUGUGAGUUGAGUGACAUGUUUUCAAUUCGAGUCUUAGCUGCAGUUGAGGUCUUAUCAAAAAGAGCUUCUCCACUAGCAGCAUCCAAAAUACUUUUGUCCAUAGGUAACAUCCCUUCAUAAAAGUAUUGAAUUAGCAAUUGUUCAGAAAUAUGGUGUUGAGGACAACUCGACACUAACUACUUGAAUCUCCCCCAAUAUUCGGCCAAUGACUCCAUGUCAACCCCUUUAAUACCACGUAUAUAUUUUAUGAUCUAAGCAACUCUUGAGGAAGAGAAAAACCUUUCUAGGAACACUCUUUUUAGAUCAUUCCAGCUUGUGACAGAAUUUGGCUCAAAGUAAUACAGUUAAUCUUUUGUAGCUCCUUGAAGUGAGAACGGGAAUGCUCUGAGCUUUAUAUGAUCCUCUAUGAAUCCUUUAGGUCUCAAAGGUGUAGAGCAUACAACCUGGAAUUCCUUCAGAUGCUUAUGCAGAUCCUCACUUGCAAGACCAUUAAACCUUGGCAACAAGUGUAUUAAACCAGAUUUUAAUUCGAAAGGUACAACAACAACAGGAUAUUCAAUACAUAAAGCAUUAUAAUUAACACUAGGGAAAGCAAGUUGUCUCAGAGUUCUUUGAUCAGCCAUGUUAAACUCAAAAUCAGAAUCAACAAAGAAUGAGAAAACACAUAACCAAUUCAGCAAUGCAGCAACAACUAAGAAAAUACCAACAAUGUCCCUAAUAAGUAAAAACAAUUGGAAUAUGGAAAAACGAUUAAAAGAAAAGAAAAAAAUAUAAAAAUAUAAAAAUAUAAAAUUUAAACUAAUAAAGUAAAAUAAGAGUUUUGAGAAUUUUUUCGGAAUUUUUUGAAACUAUGAAAACACAAUAAAAAAAAUCAUAAAAAAUAGAAAAAUGAUGAAUUUGGGGUUUUAAGGGUAGUGUCCCGUGACUCUUUUCAAGAGUAACGAUUUUUUACUCCUGAUUUUUUUCUACUAAAUUGGCAUGGAAAAAUUUCGAUUCCGGGAUGAUUUUUCUAAAACUGGGUUCUCGGACCGGGUUUGAUGGAUACGCGCGAAUUGGCCAAAACAGCAAGAAUGGAUGGGCCAAAACGCAAGGACGAACACCUAAGACUCUAAUAAUGGUAAAAUUUGACAAGAGUCUUAGGCAACAGCGCCAAUUUGAUUCGUUGUCACGCACGGGUCAAAAACGAGUAAUUAAAAAUUGUAGUUUAGGAAACCGACACUCGAAAGUAGUAUCGCAGUGACUCUUUUAUUGAAUUUUACCAACUGAAAAUGAUGGGGGGUUUAAGGUUUAGGUUUUGAAUAAAAUAAUAGUAAAAAGGAUUCGAUUAAGAAUAAGUUAAAACGGCUAAUCCUAUUGAUUUGGGUUCCGACUUAUCACUGGCUAUUGUAAAUCCAAUCUCCUAAACGGCUUUGAUUCUAUUCGAAUAUGAAAUCAAUUAAACAAGUGCUAUCAAUAUUAUGUGAAUUGUGUUCAUGUUUAUCGCAUUAAGCAUGACAUUUUAAAGAUUAGGCGAAGCUAACAUAUAAGCUAACUUAACACGCGAUUAAAAUUAGGAACAUGCAUACAAUUGAAUUUAAUCAAUUAUAUCCUAUAAGUAGCAAUCGAAUUAAGCAAACUGAUACAUAGGUAGAAUUGAAAAGAAAUUGAAAUUGAUUUGGAAUUAAAAUAACCUCAAAGCGGUGGAACCCGUAAUUAGCAUAAUUCUCCUUAGGGAUUAGUUCUCCAUCAAAAUCGUACAAAGCUAAGAAUUUCGUGAAUAGUGAAUAUGUGUAUGAACAGUAGCCACUACUACUUUAGGUUAAAGGAAACAAGGAAUUAGGGUUCUAAUCCCAACCGGAUCGGAAAACAUAAAAGUUGACCCAAAACUUGUCCAAAACUAAUUAUUUUCUAAAGUCUGAAACUAAAAUUAUUUCUUCGAGUUUUUUACACUCUGAAUCUACUUUUAACUUCAACAUGAAACUUUUAUCUUAUCCUCUUAUCUAUUCAAAACGUAAUAGAACGAGUCAAUCCAAUUAUCGUAGCCCAAGUUAUGACCUACAAACCGAGAGGGUGUAAAUAGUUGUUUAUUCAGAAAAUACCAUACGAAAUUAAAAUAAAUGUAACAAUAAACUAUGCUAAGGAAACACACUAAAAUAGUAGAAAUAACAAAAGAUACUCUAGAAUUUUUUCAACAUAAUAGUGAAAUAAUAUGCCUGAAAAUGCACUGAUCAAACGUCAAAUCUGCUUUUUGAACGGAUCGCUUGAAGAAGGGUUGUAUGUAGAGCAACCACUAGUUUUGUUGUGAGAAACCAAGAGUUAAAAUUCUACAAGUUGAAGAAAGCAUUGUAUGGUUUGAAGCAAGCUCCAAGAUCUUGGAACAAGAGGAUAGAUGGUUUCCUAAAGGAGGUUGGUUUCAAGAAAUAUGUAUCCGAACAUGGCGUGUAUGUCAAGACGGAUACAAGUGAAGAUGUGGUUAUCCUUUGUUUAUACAUAGACGACUUGUUGAUAAUUGGAAGUGAUGGAAAAUGCAUUUCAAAGUUCAAGAGUGAACUUAUAAAAGAGUUUGAGAUGACUGACCUUAGCCUCAUGACAUACUUCAUUGGCAUUGAGUUCCACAAGCCCAAAAGGGGAUUGCUCAUGCACCAAAGAAGGCAUGCACUUGAGAUAUUGAAGAAGUUUGAAAUGGGGUAUUGUAAUGUUGUCAUUACUCUGACUUAACUGAGGAUACAGUUUUCGAAGAAUGAGGAUGAGCAAGAUGUUGAUCCAACUCAGUAUAUGAGACUGAUUGGAUCAUUUCUUUACUUGUGUAAGACGCGACCCGACGUGACGUUUAAUGUCGGUAUUGUGAGUAGAUUCAUGGAGAGAUCGAAGGUGUCUCACUUAGCAACAGUCAAGAGGAUCAUAAGAUGUCAAAUGGUCGAUUGGCUGGGGAAUUCUCUUUCUCGCAUCGGACACAUGAAGAAAAUGAAACUUACUCAGUUUUACCAAUUCCAACUGGUGUGGAGAUAAAGAUGAUCGAAAGUCUACAGUUGGAUACAUCUUUAUGUUCGGCGAAAUACCAAUUUCAUGGUGUUCGAAGAAGGAACUGAUAGUAGCACUCUCGUCUUGUGAUGCCGAGUACAUUACUGCUUCGUUAUGUGUGUGUCAAGUCGUGUGGCUAAUGAAUCUAUUGAAGGAGAUGGGCAGCAAUGAGGGUGAUGUUGUUACGCUCUUGGUUGAUAAUGUUUUCGCAAUUAAUCUUGCUAAGAACCCAAUUGCACAUGGGAGGAGAAAGCAAAAUGAGAUAAGGUUUCACUACUUGAGGGAACUUGUCAGUUAAGGAAGGUUGAGAUUGAGAUAUUGUAGAAGUGAAUACCAAGUGGUUGAUUUGUUGACUAAGGGAGGCACAAUUGAAGUGUUCAAAGAUUGAAGAUGAACAUGGACAUGGAAGACUUGGAGCACUUGAAUUAAGGUGGUGUGUUAUGAAAAAAUUGACAAUUCUAGUGUUGUAAUCAGUUACCACGGGCAUGUAACCGAUUACAGUUGUGUGAAAAAGUAACAGGAAAGCUAAAAAAAGGAAAUUCUUGUUGGUGUAACCGGUUCCGCAUUCGCAGUAACCGGUUAUCACUGUUAUAUUUUUAGAGUUUGUUUCAGCUAUAACCGGUUAUAGAUUUUGUGUUACCAGUUACAGGUACGAGAUUUUCAAUUUUAUGUUAUUUUUGAUGUUGUAACUUAUUCUCAAUCCACCUGUAAUUGUAUAUGUAUUUUGGAGGUAUUAUGAAUGAAAACUAAUGAUAAUUUUCACCCUCAAUUACACUCUCUCUAAUUAUAAUUCUCAAUCACUCUCUCUUAUCUUUUACAUUCAAUUUCUUCAUUAUUCGUCAAUCUUGUAAUUUCAAAUUUUAAUAUUUAGUUUAAGUUUUUAUAUAAAAAUAUAUUUAAAAAAUUUAAACAAAAUAAUGUAACAAUAUAAGAAUCAUUUUUAAAAUAAACCGAAAGAAAUGUACUAUUUAUUUUGUUUGAUUAACAAUAGCUAUAAUGGAAAGCUAUUGCUACAUUAAUAUUACUAUAGUUGUUUCGUUUUAUAAAAGGUAUGGUUUGGCUUUUUUUGGUGUUGCGUCGGAAAUUUCUCAAAUAUUACAACUUUGUAUGUUGAUUAUAUUUUGUAGACAUUUAUGUAAAGUCGACGAUCAUUUUUGUAUGUUAACUAAUAAUUUAUUAAUUUAAAAGGUUUAAAAUUUUAAAAAUUAACUUUUUUUUGGGAAGAAAAAAUUAACUUUUAAAUCAUGUAAAAUGAACUUUGUUGUUCACAAACUUGAAUUUAGUCUAGUUUGAGUAAAAGAAAAUGUGUUUCAAAAUCAAAUUGAAAUUUGAAUUUUGAGUUGAAUCAAUUUUUAUUGACUCGACUUAAGUCAAAUUAAACUCAAUUCAACUCAUUUUCUACCUUAAAUAUAAAAAAAGUAUUAUAUGAUUAUUAAGAUUUAACCUUUAAAAACAAUAUUUAUUUAUAUUUAUAAAUUAAUAUAAAUCAGUAUGUUGAUAUUUAUAAAUAAUUAAAUUCUUUUAACGUAAGGAUUUUGAAAUUUUAGAGUAGAAACAUUUGUUCAUAUUAAGGAACAUUUGUUCACUAAUGUACUUUUUCUAUUAAGGGCUCUCUGCUCUUAAAGAUGACUUUAAAUUCAGAUUGAAGAUGGAAACUCCUAUUUUUGGAUUUUUCAAUUGACCUGAGGUAGAGAAAUUAGUGGACCAAGUUCUCUGUGUGGAUAUUCACGAUCUGGAAAUACGAGGUGUUUAUUUGGAUGAGAAUUAGAACUUCAAUUCAUUAUAUGUUAAUAUUCAUUUGGUUGUUUGUGACCGUCUAAAAGCGCUUCUCAUUUGUGAAAUUCUGGCGUAGUCAGAGUUCAGAUGUUCUACUCCAAGUCAUGACAUCUGAUCCAACAUUGUUACUAAUACAGCAAGACAGUUAUACAAAUUAAAACCCAGUACUAAUCUACACACAUUCACCAUGAAAUUCUGGCGUAGUCAGAGUUCAGAUGUUCUACUCCAAGUCAUGACAUCUGAUCCAACAUUGUUACUAAUACAGCAAGACAGUUAUACAAAUUAAAACCCAGUACUAAUCUACACACAUUCACCGAUGUCACGACAUCUACUACUAUAUCACCAUAGAAUGGAAGAACACCCAGUUCUGUCCAUCUGGUACAAGGACACAGUAGAGAUCAAACAUAGCACUAACUUCUGUUGAGCCUGCACAGUUAUCAGCAUGAUGUCUCAAUAGUGAUUUGGACAUCACCUGUUACAGUAUUACAGUUUGCUGGCCUUGUACUUGUAUUUCCUAAAAUAAAGGUUAAACACGUUAAUCUAAUUUCCACAUAUUAGGGUGCUAACAAAUAGGCUAUUUGUUAGGUUCAUUAAUUGUAGCUCAGUUGUUAGUUUCCUGGAUUUCAGCUCAGCUGUUGGAUUGCUGAAGAAUAGCCUGAGAAAAAUAUUGAAACAGAAAAACUAACCUUCCUACAAUUUAGCAUAUGCUGUCAGGAAUGGAUGUCACAACAUUCAUUUUGGACGUCCAGAACAUAGACCAUAUGCUAAGUCUGUUAUUUUUCUGAAAACAGACUGUACAAAAUGAUGUACUGUAUAAGACCAACCAGUCUAUAUUUCAAUAUCAGCUUACAGUAAUAAAUGUCAAAACAUCCAGUUUGACAUUUACAGAAUGUGCCUUAUGCCAGGUCUGUUAUCCUCUUGAAGAACAGACUGAGAUACAUACUGAACUGUAGCAGAAGACCAACCUGCCUUAUUAUUCAGUAUAUGCUGACAAUGGUGAAUGUCAUAACAUCCAGUUUGACAUUCAAACAGUAUGCUAUGUACCAGGUCUGUUAUUCUCUUGAUAAACAGACUGAAAUACAUGCUGAGUUAUAACAGACAGAAUUAUAACGUGCAGAAGGAAAACAAACACAGGAAAUUGUUAACCCAGUUCGGUGCAACAUCACCUACUCUGGGGGCAUACCAAGCCAGGAAGAAGAUCCACUAUCAGUAGUAUUAAUUCAGAGUUAAACUCUCUCUGCGGUUUAACUCUUCACUUAAUCCCUACCCAAUGCAAUUUAUACCGUAGGAACUCCUAGAUAGAAACCACCAGUUUCCAUUUCUAUCACUACAAUUUCAAAGUAAUGCUAAACAAGUUGAACUUGCUUCACAACUUAGUUCAAGACCAUGACAACUCUUACCUACAGGCUUUGAGUUACAAAAUAAUCUCAGCUUUGAGCACUGAGAAACACAUGGUAAUCUUCCCACAGGUUGGGAGGUUUACCUCACACACACCCCUAAUUUUUACAUUGUUUGAGGCUCACUUCACCUAGGUUACAAUCUGCUAUUUAUAACCUAAACACCCAACUGGAUUUGGGCCUUAGAAAUCGCAACAAGCUUCUCCUUUGUUGUUACAAAGUCAGCAGAAAACUCCUGCUAUAAUCAAGGUCUUCAAUCUUUUAGUUCCUAAAAUAUCUCCAUAUAUAUCUCCAUAUUUGGAAACUGUAUAUUCUGAUUGAGUCUUUAAGAUCUCCACAAGGAAGUUAGGAUAUUCACCAAAUAUCCUCACUAAUCCCAGAAUAUAUGCCUGAAUUAACUAAUUCAGUUUUCUACACAUGUGUGAUGUCACAGUCACGAUGUCGUGACAUCGUACAUGACAUGUUGGUCCAGAUGUUGAACUUCUUCAACCCAACAUAUUAAAACAACAGAGAUGAUUACAUUAUUUGUUUUACAAAAUUAAUGUCAAUCCUAAGGUAUUAACAAUUUGUUUGAAUUUUCUAGUGUCUGGUUGGUUGAUCUGGAGGCAAUUUAGAUGGUAUCUAUAUUGUUCGGGAUGAUUAUAUCUGGCUUAAGAGACUUGAAUUUAUUCAUAAUACAACAGAAACUCUUGGAAGUGGGUGUGGCAUAUAUCUGCUCAUAAAAAGGUGAAAUUCUUCUUUUGAGCGGCUUUACAUAAAUCAUUUCCUACGAGAUCGAUGUUGUGUCAUCAUGGUAUGCUACAGGCGAAUCUCUAUUCUAUAUGCAAUCAUGACACUAAGGUGAAUCUACACUACUUGAGACUGUGAAUUCACUACUCGCUUUUGGAAAUCUAUUGGUUUCUUGGAUCCAUUAUUCUUCUAAGGGGAUAGUUUAUAUGAUUGGAUUAGACAUGGCAUUGAUGAUGACUCUAUCUUUUUGGCUGCUUGUUGAUUGUUAUGACGCACUAAAAACAAAUUGUAUCUUGCAAAUGAAGUGGCAUCUUUCUGUACUUUGAAACUCAUCACAGUUAAUUAUGCUAAUUUAUUAGCUAAAUGUUUUCUCAAGCAUAAAUGUCUCAUCCAACGAGAACAAUCAUGUGGAAUGCAUACAAAGAUAGUAAUAUGAUUUUGAAUUUUGAUGGCAAUAGCCUCAGUAAUCUCGGCGUCUCGUAUUUUGUUGGAUUGAUUUGAAAUGAUGAUGGUGCUUUGGUUCACAAUUUUGUGGGUAAUUGAUUUGAAAUGAUGAUGGUGCUUUGGUUCACAAUUUUGUGGGUAAUAUUAGUUAUUCCAACAUCCUUCAUGUUGAGUUGAUGGUGUUAUAUCAUGAUUUGUAUAGGGUCUGAGAACUUAGCAUCAAAGACAUAAUGUGUUACUCUAACUCUAACUCUGCUAUCAAACUAAUCUCAAAGACCGUUAAUAUUUGACAUCACUAUGUUGCGAAUCUUCACAACAUUAAAGAGCUCCUCUUCAGGAAAUGACACGUUCAAAUAUUACACACUCUUACGGAAGAAAAUAUUUGUGCUAACUGUCUAACAAAACAUGAGACCGAUAAUGAUGCGCCGAAUAAGUUUUUUUUUUGCAUAAUCUCCUAUUUAAAUUAUCACUCUCUUGCUAAUUGAUAUUUAGUCGAAUUUCCUAUUCUUUUUCACUUUUACCAAUAUAUAAUUUUUUUUUUAAACAAAUUUUAAAAAAUAAUAAUUUUUUUUAUUGAAAGUGUCAUUAAAUCCAAAAAAAAUCAAUAAACUUAAUUGUUAAUAAUACAUGUUUUAAAGAGCAAUUCUUAUUUGUCAAAAAAAAAAAGAGUAAUUCUUAUAAUCCUCAAUAAUAUUUAUUAUUAUUAUUAUUAUUAUCUUUUAAAUGGGUCUGUUUUUAUGUCUCCAGAAUUUUUUUUAUUUAUAUAGAUUAAUCAUUUAACUUACAAAAAUAGUCAUAAUCACAAUAAGAGUAGGAAGAGUUUGAAAUUGAGUAAUAAGCAAAUGCUAAUAAAACAAAAUAAGUCUAUAAUUAACCUCAUACACAAAGGGGGCAAAUGAUCCAAAUUGGAAAGGAUCCUGGUAAAAAUGAUCCAAAUUGGAAAUGAUCCAAAUCAUUCAUGUAGCAAUACAGCUAAACAUGAGAACUCAAGAACCAAAAGUGGUCCUUCAAAUGACUUUAACAUGCUAAAAAGAAAAGUCAUUAUUUGAUUUUCCCUUUAUCAUUCAUUAUGAAAGAGACUCACGUUUAGAUUAUUCCAUUCCAAACACAGUGUCCAAUCCUUGUCUCUUCCUACCUUUUUCACCCCACUAUCCCUACCGAGCUUCCUUAUACAAACCAUUAUCCAUCUAAUUUAUCUUUAAAGUUACCUAACCAAAUUUGUGUUUGAAAUUAAAAUCAUAAGAACGUGAUUUAUUAUUUUUCCUUAAAUUCAACCACUCUAUCAAUAAUUUGAUGUUCUAUUUAAACUUUAAUUCAGAGACUUGUUGUUACACGGCAUUGACUAUUAUGAAUAAGAGAGGUGUACAUUGGCUCACAUGGAAACCAGUUAAGACACACAUUCUAUGAAACUUCUGACUCAUGGCUACAUUUUUUAUAAACUAUAGUAUAUAAUUUAAAUGACGCAUUCAUUGCCAGCUUAUUAUUAGCAUUAACGACAGUAAUAAACAAAUAGACCUGAUGUAAUGUAACAACAACAAAAUUACAUCACUUCUUUCAGAAUAACCUGUUUAAUUAUUAAUUCAUAGAAAAAUUUAUUUAAAAAAAAAAAAAAAGCAUAAAUGAAUCAUAGAAAAAUAUUUGUUCAAACAUUAUACUAUAGAGAAAUGUGCAUGAUUUCCUUUCCUCCACCACUUGGUCAGUGGGGGCUGUUUUUUAAUUUGAAAAAGCAUAGUUGUAUAAUAAAAUUAUCUAACAGAAAUAAAGAACCAAUAAUGUGCACGUUUCAUUCAUUUAUUGACAUCAUAAUUCAAAUGUUAGAACCGACAAUGAUCAGUUGCUAAAAACAAUGCACUCAGCAAACAUUACUAGAAAAUUCAUUCAUGAAGCUACAAUACAUAUAUCAGAUACAGCAACGCAGGUUUGAAUAUGUGAGAUUUCACUUAUUUCUUUUAAAGAGUGAAAUUUCAGCUAGUAAAUUACUUGACUCCUCUAGAGACUAAAACAUUACUAAAGUUAAAGGCCGAAGAAAAAAAUAAUAAUUAUUUCGUUCAGGAGAGAUUUAAUUAAUCUGUGAAAUAAAGUUUUUCUGGUUAUUGUUUCUAACUUUUUCUCCCUCUAAAGUUUGUGAGCCUCGAAUAACCUGUAAAUGAUGCAACGUGCACUUUGAACUCAUGCAUGUGUUGACAAGAAUCACAUGUUAAUAAUCAUUAUUAUUGAGAGAAAUCACAUGGCUCAGAAAAUUAAAAAAAUUAAAGUGAAAGUGAAAGUAAUAUAGCAUAGCAGGUGAACUAAAGUGAAAACCAAUUUGUAUUCUUCUCGUAUUAGCAACUUCCCUUGGCCAUGGCCAUGGCCAUGACCAUUAUACGUAUUUAGAUGAAUUAAGGUGCAGAAGUGUGUAAUGUAUAUUUCAAAUUUCUAGGGAUACAUUUGAAAUAAAAUAAACUAUGAUUUUAGAUUAUGAUGACGAUCUAUAUCAUACCUAACGACCACGUGUACCUGUAGGAAAUUAAGGCAUAUUUGGGUUAUUCUGUAACACAAAGUGCCAAAUGCUUUGUGUUCAAAACGUACAGAAAGAAAUAAAGAAAAGUCAAAUAUCAUCUUCACCUUAUUAUUAAACAAACACAAAUGAUUUGAUCUAAAGCUUGUAAUAGCUGCCAGCCAUUAAGGACUUAAACAAAAAUAAUUAAUCUUUAAUGCAAAAUAGAGUAUUCACUUUCCCUUUAUGCUAAAACAAUUGAAAAGAAAAAAAAAACUAAAGAGAAAUAAAGCAUUUUGGAGGUACUUUUUUGUCAAGAUAGGCAACUCAGCAGAGAAUGAUAAAAGAAUAGUAAGUUAUGGUAAUUAGUUUGUGUUGGAUACUAUACUAAGAAGAAGUAGAAAUGGUGAUUAAUAUUUCAAUUAUUAGUAGUAGUAGUUGGAAUUUGAUGGUGACUGGUUCUAUUGUAUGGCCAUUUGGAGGAAAAGAAAUUGGAGAGAGAGAGAGUGUGUAAAACAGUAGUUAGAAAAGUCAUAAGGCCAGCUGGAGGGAAACUUAGUUUAAGGCAUUAAAAUCUAAAAGAAACCAAAUGAAUAUUUUGAAAUGGUCCCUUAUGACAGCUCCCCUUUAACGACUCAUUACUCUCACUAUAAGUAUAGCUAUUUUAUGUAAGCUUUCAUCAGUCAUCACUAACACAAAACCUUCCCCUCCUCUUUCUCUAUCUCUCUUUUCAGCUUUUCUAAAUAGUGGUGAGGAUACUCUCAGAAGCAUUGGCCAGCUUUUGCCUAUUGCCCAUGACUGCUAGGGGCAGUGACCCCAUAAGGGGUCGGUUUCGGCCGGAAAUGGCCAUGGCAUUGGCCAUUGUUCUGAUUUCUACUACUGUGGUUUCUGUUGCUGCUGAUGGUUACCCAUACAGUUCUCCUCCACCACCAACUUAUGAGUACAAGUCACCUCCACCAUCAACUCCUUCACCACCACCUCCUUAUGAGUACAAGUCACCCCCUCCACCACCCAUUGAACCUCCUUAUGAGUACAAGUCACCCCCUCCACCACCCAUUGAACAUAAGGCUCCACCAUAUGAGUACAAGUCACCUCCACCACCAUCUGCCUCACCCCCACCUCCUUAUGAGUACAAGUCUCCUCCACCACCUUCUUCAUCACCUCCACCUCCUUACUACUAUAAAUCUCCACCACCACCCUCUCCCUCACCUCCACCACCUUACUACUACAAAUCUCCUCCACCACCCUCUCCUUCCCCUCCUCCACCUUACUAUUACAAGUCUCCCCCACCACCAUCACCUGUUUACAAAUACAAUUCACCACCUCCACCAUCACCAACUUAUGUGUACAAAUCUCCUCCUCCUCCAACACCAGUUUAUAAAUAUAAAUCACCACCUCCACCAUCACCAACAUAUGUGUACAAGUCUCCUCCUCCUCCAACACCAGUUUACAAGUAUAAGUCACCACCUCCACCAUCACCAACAUAUGUGUACAAGUCUCCUCCUCCUCCAACACCAGUUUACAAGUAUAAGUCACCACCUCCACCAUCACCAACAUAUGUGUACAAGUCUCCUCCUCCUCCAACACCGGUAUACAAACCUCCAUACUACUACAAUUCACCUCCUCCUCCAACACCAGUUUACAAAUACAAAUCACCACCUCCUCCAUCACCAACUUACGUGUACAAGUCUCCUCCUCCACCAACACCAGUAUACAAACCCCCAUACUACUAUAACUCACCUCCUCCUCCAACACCAGUUUACAAGUAUAAUUCACCACCUCCACCAUCACCAACUUACGUGUACAAGUCUCCUCCUCCUCCCGCACCAGUUUAUAAGUACAACUCACCACCUCCUCCAACACCAGUAUACAAAUACAACUCACCACCUCCUCCAUCACCAGUUUACAAGUACAACUCACCACCUCCUCCAUCACCAGUUUACGUCUACAAGUCACCACCCCCACCAACACCUGUAUACAAACCCCCAUACUACUACAACUCACCUCCUCCUCCAACACCAGUGUACAAGUACAAUUCACCACCUCCACCGUCACCAACUUACGUGUACAAGUCACCACCCCCACCAUCACCUGUAUACAAACCCCCAUACUACUACAACUCACCUCCUCCUCCAACACCAGUGUACAAGUACAAUUCACCUCCUCCUCCAACACCGGUGUACAAAUAUAAUUCACCUCCUCCUCCAACUUACUACUACAAUUCGCCACCACCUCCGGUAAAAUCUCCUCCUCCACCAACACCUUACUACUACCAAUCUCCACCACCACCCAAGUACACUCCACCUCCAUACUACUAUAGCUCUCCUCCUCCCCCUGUUGUGUAUCCCCCACAUCCAUAUCACCACUCAUUGAUUGUGAAGGUAGUGGGUAAAGUCUACAGCUACAAGUGCUAUAACUGGGAGUAUCCUGAAAAGUCUCAUGACAAGAAACACCUCAAAGGUAUAUUACAUUCACUUCUUAAUCCUUAUAUUUUAAUCUCUCUUAUCGACAUCAAUAUUUUUUUAUAGUCAAAUUCUUGCUGGUUAGUUUUACAUUUUUAGAUGAGUUUCAUACGCUCUUUAUAUUAAGUUUAGUUAUUCAUUUUUCAAUCAACUACUACAAAGUAUUUUAUCUUCUGCAUGUACCCUUUACAAAUGAGAACUUACAUAUAUUAAUAAAAACUAACUUUUUUUCACUCAUUAAAGUAAAACAACUUAAUUCCUAAAUAACAUGCAAAUUUUGCUUAGUUCCGACUGCAAGAUGUAAUAAAGGAAAUCAAUAUGAUAGAUAAUAUGACUCGAUAUUUGGAAUUGGAUAAUGCUACAUAAUUACUAUGAUCUACAACACGGAUAGCUAAACUUUACCUUUUAGUAAAACCUUGUAAUGUUUAAUUCUGUCAUUACUUAUAUUUGACUUUACUGUGAGGCUUACGAAUUUCAACUGAUUAUGGGAUAGGUGCUGUUGUUGAGGUCAAAUGCAAAGCUGGAAGGAACAUCAUCAAGGCGUACGGUAAAACUAAGAACAAUGGAAAGUACGCCAUCACAAUUCCAAACUUUAACUAUGUGAAAUAUGGUCCCACAGUGUGCAAAGCCAAACUACAUGCUCCACCUAAAGGCUCUCCAUUCAACAUCCCAACUAAGCUCAAUGAGGGAACCGACUUGUGGGUAAAAUCUAAAGACAAGUAUGAAGUUGUGCUCAAGGCAAAGCCAUUCGCCUAUGCUUCUAAGAAGCAUUAUGAAGAAUGUGAAAAGCCUAAGCCUUCACCAACUCCUUACUACUACAAGUCACCUCCUCCUCCUACACCAACUUACAUAUACAAGUCACCACCCCCACCAUCACCAACUUAUGUGUACAAGUCACCACCUCCACCAUCACCUAUAUACAAACCCCCAUAUUACUACAACUCACCUCCUCCUCCAACACCAGUUUACAAGUACAAUUCACCACCUCCACCAUCACCAACUUACGUGUACAAGUCACCACCUCCACCAUCACCUGCAUACAAACCCCCAUACUACUAUAACUCACCUCCUCCUCCAACACCGGUUUACAAGUACAACUCACCACCUCCACCGUCACCAACAUACGUGUAUAAAUCACCACCACCACCAUCACCUAUAUACAAACCCCCGUACUACUACAAUUCACCUCCUCCUCCAACACCAGUUUACAAGUACAAUUCACCACCUCCACCAUCACCAACUUAUGUGUACAAGUCACCACCCCCACCAUCACCGGUAUACAAACCCCCGUACUACUACAACUCACCUCCUCCCCCAACACCAGUUUACAAAUACAACUCACCUCCUCCACCGUCACCAACAUACGUGUACAAGUCACCACCCCCACAUCACCGGUAUACAAACCCCCGUACUACUACAACUCACCUCCUCCCCCAACACCAGUUUACAAAUACAACUCACCUCCUCCACCGUCACCAACAUACGUGUACAAGUCACCACCCCCACCAUCACCUGUGUACAAACCCCCAUACUACUACAACUCACCUCCUCCUCCAACCCCAGUUUACAAGUACAAUUCACCACCCCCACCGUCACCAACAUAUGUCUACAAGUCUCCACCCCCGCCAUCACCUGCGUACAAACCCCCAUACUAUUACAACUCACCUCCUCCACCAACGCCUGUUUAUAAGUACAAUUCUCCACCUCCACCGUCACCAACUUAUGUGUACAAGUCACCACCCCCACCAUCACCUGUAUACAAACCCCCAUACUACUAUAACUCGCCUCCUCCUCCAACACCAGUUUACAAAUACAGUUCACCUCCUCCUCCAACACCGGUUUAUAAGUACAAUUCACCUCCUCCACCAUCACCAACUUACGUGUACAAGUCACCACCCCCACCAUCACCGGUAUACAAACCCCCAUACUACUACAAUUCACCUCCUCCACCAUCACCAACUUACAAGUACAAUUCACCACCUCCGCCAUCACCAACUUAUGUGUAUAAGUCACCACCUCCACCAUCACCAACUUAUGUGUAUAAGUCACCACCUCCACCAUCACCUGUGUACAAACCCCCGUACUACUACAACUCACCUCCUCCUCCAACACCAGUUUACAAGUACAAUUCACCUCCUCCACCAACACCAGUUUACAAGUACAAUUCACCUCCUCCACCAACACCUAUAUACAAACCUCCAUACUACUACAAUUCACCUCCUCCUCCAACCCCAGUUUACAAGUACAACUCACCUCCUCCUCCAACACCGGUUUACAAAUACAACUCCCCUCCUCCUCCAACACCGGUUUACAAGUACAACUCCCCUCCUCCUCCUCCAAAACACCGGUUUAUCAAGACAACUCACUCCUCCUCCAACACCGGUUUACAAAUACAAUCACCCCUCCUCACCAUCAUCCGUGAUUUACAAGACAACUCACCUCCUCCUCCAUCACCUGUUACAAGUACAACUCACCCCUCCUCCUACACCGGUUUACAAGACAACACCCUCCCCUCCUCCUCUCAACCACCGUUACAAAUACAAACUCCCCUCCUCCUCCAUCACCGGUUUACAAGUACAACUCCCCUCCUCCUCCAUCACCGGUUUACAAGUACAACUCCCCCCCUCCUCCAACACCGGUUUACAAGUACAACUCCCCUCCUCCUCCAACACCGGUUUACAAGUACAACUCCCCACCUCCUCCAACACCGGUUUACAAGUACAAGUCACCACCUCCACCGUCACCAACUUACGAGUACAAAUCUCCUCCUCCUCCAACACCAGUUUACAAGUACAAAUCUCCACCUCCACCAUCACCUACAUAUGUGUACAAGUCUCCUCCACCACCAACACCAGUUUACAAGUACAACUCACCACCUCCACCAUCCCCAUCACAUCCCCCUCCAUACUAUUACAAUUCUCCCCCACCGCCAUCACCAUCCCCACCUCCACCUUACUAUUACCAAUCCCCACCACCACCAUCCUCUUCUCCACCACCUCCUUAUUACUAUCAAAGUCCUCCUCCCCCGUCUCCCACUCCUCAUACUCCCUACUACUACAAAUCCCCUCCACCACCAACGUCAUCUCCUCCACCUCCUUACCACUAUGUGAGUCCUCCCCCACCAACAUCAUCUCCUCCCCCACCAUACCACUACACAUCGCCACCUCCUCCCUCCCCGUCUCCUGCUCCCACAUACAUUUACAAAUCACCUCCCCCACCAGUGAAAUCGCCUCCCCCACCAGCUUACAUUUAUGCAUCCCCACCACCACCUAUCUACAAGUAAGCUCAAAAUGCAGCAACACCGUUCCGUAUAAAUCAUGUAAGUUUAUAAUCUUACAUCCAUAAAUACACAUAUAUUACAACUGCAUGUAUAAAUCUUAGUAAUGCAAAUUAUUCUUUUCAGGUUUUAGUUUUCAUCAAGGAAUAAAUGCUACCUCCAUUUGGAACAAAGUGAAACUACCUUCCAGUCUAAGUUCUUUGAAUAAAAGUCUGAAUCUAUUAUCUCUACG
rnacentral:lncRNA from 1 species